rnacentral:rRNA from 1 species
UACGUAGGGGGCAAGCGUUGUCCGGAUUUAUUGGGCGUAAAGAGCGUGUAGGCGGCUUGUCGCGUCGGAUGUGAAAGCCCGGGGCUUAACUCCGGGUCUGCAUUCGAUACGGGCAGGCUAGAGUUCGGUAGGGGAGAUCGGAAUUCCUGGUGUAGCGGUGAAAUGCGCAGAUAUCAGGAGGAACACCGGUGGCGAAGGCGGAUCUCUGGGCCGAUACUGACGCUGAGGAGCGAAAGCGUGGGGAGCGAACAGG